GCGGUUGGAUAAGUUAGAUGUGAAAGCCCCGGGCUCAACCUGGGAAUUGCAUUUAAAACUGUCCAGCUAGAGUCUUGUAGAGGGGGGUAGAAUUCCAGGUGUAGCGGUGAAAUGCGUAGAGAUCUGGAGGAAUACCGGUGGCGAAGGCGGCCCCCUGGACAAAGACUGACGCUCAGGUGCGAAAGCGUGGGGAGCAAACAGGAUUA
rnacentral:rRNA from 1 species